rnacentral:rRNA from 1 species
CAGCCGCCGCGGGAAUACGUAGGUGGCAAGCGUCGUCCGGAAUUAUUGGGCGUAAAGGGCUCGCAGGCGGUUUCUUAAGUCUGAUGUGAAAGCCCCCGGCUCAACCGGGGAGGGUCAUUGGAAACUGGGAAACUUGAGUGCAGAAGAGGAGAGUGGAAUUCCACGUGUAGCGGUGAAAUGCGCAGAGAUGUGGAGGAACACCAGUGGCGAAGGCGACUCUCUGGUCUGUAACUGACGCUGAGGAGCGAAAGCGUGGGGAGCGAACAGGAUUAGAUACCCCUGUAGUCCCUGUCUCUUAUAA